UGCCAACUGAGAUUCAUGCCCAUGCUACUAAAUUAGGGCUGUUUUCAAAUCUCUGAUAGGGGACUAUCUUGUUAAGUGCUAUAUGCCUAGUGCCUACAACUGUACCUGGAACAUAGUUAGUACUCAACAGGUAUUUUUAAAAUGAUAAGGAAACAUCAUAAUAAGAAUAACUUACAUUUUUUAUAGUGCUUUAGCACUUGUAGAGUACAUUCAAAAUAUUUUCUCUCUUUUUUCCCCACAUUGAAGUUUGGAAAGAAACAAAAUAUUUUAUCUUUUUAAAUAUUUUGCCUAAGGCCACAACAUUAACAUGCAAUAAAGACAAAACCCAUAUUUUAUUCAUUAUUAUACAACCCACCAUUAACAUGCAGUAAAGACAAGAUACAACCCAUAGCCACGAUACUUUGUCCAACAGUAAGCUACACUGGAAAUAAAUCAAAGAUGUGCCUUUGUUUCACAAAAAUACCUACUUUUAUGUGUCGGUCUGUGUCAGCCUUGGGCAUAUUCUGAUACCAUCCCUGUGAAAUGAAAAUGGUGAUAUGCUUGCCUUUUCCAGAGUGGUGUAUUACUUGAAACAUGUACAUUUAGCUGGGUGUGCAGGAGCACGUUCCUGUCAUCCCAGCUACUUGGAAGACUAAGGUGGGAGAAUUGUUUAGCCCAGGAGUUUGAGAAUAGCCUGAGGAACAUAGUAAGAUCCCCCAUCUUAAAAAAACAAAACAGAAAAUAUGUACAUUUUAAAAAUUUGGUCAUUUCUGCUGAAAUAAUCUUGUUUUACAAGGUUGCUAAAAAGCUGGACUAUGAAGACCCAGAGAUAAUUGCAGCUGGACAUACCUAUGAAAUGAUGAUUUCAGUAUUUGAUGACCUACGUCCUUCCCAUACAGAUUUGAGCCUUUCCCCAAUACUGAAGAGGAAAGACAUUUCUCACAAUGUCUGGAAGAGGAAAGACACUGAAGAGGAAAGACAUUUCUCACAAUACAAUGAAUGUCACAGAUUCCCUGAAGUAAAGGUUCUAUGAAGCCCAGAUUAAAUUUUUUUGUUUGACACACAUGGCAUGGAUUUUCAGCAGAGGCAAUAACCGCAUUCUUCGGAACACGAAUUCUACAAGAUAAUCCACUAAGGAAGAAUUCUGUGGUCAAAUAAGUUAGGGAAGCAAGGCAUACCUAGACGUUUAUAAUACCUAAUGACGUAUUAGAAACCCGAAGAAGUCUUGCCAGAAAGAAAUUUUUUACUGCUUAAUUAGGAUUCUACAUUUGACACAUUAGCAUCUCCAUGAAGAUAUUUGGGGAGAUGCUGGUGGACAUAGCUUGGUUUAAUACUCAUUCAGUGACUUACAAGUUUUGUGAUAUUUGUCUAAGAACUUAACUCUGUGAACCUCAGUUUUCUUGCCUGCGAAAUGGGGACAAUAAUACCAAUGGCAAGUCAGCACCUUUUGCAGUAAAUGUUAGUUAUUAUUUUACCUCUGUUAAAAAUGUUCCCUGUUUGCAAGUUUCUUGCUUUUAUGUUGGGACAUCAAAUUCUUUCUUUUUGACAACUUUGUUAUGAUAGUUACAGGGUAUUUUUGAUAACACACAAUAUACAAACAUUUGGCUGAGGUGAAUAAAAUUUAAUAACUGCUUUUUACUUAACCUUUU
rnacentral:lncRNA from 13 species